GAAAUAUCGUACGAAAGUGAUCGGUUACUCUAACCACGAUGAAGAGUAUUGAUGUUCCCUUCUGAGCGCGAAGCGGGUAGCGAGUAAUGAUUGAUUUCAUCCGCUCGUUGUCAUUGAUGACCGUUCCUUGCUCCCUCGUGGAGCCUGGAGGUAGGGAACAUGAUCAGAGUGGUUAGAUGUAGAUAUUGUACAGAUUAAGUAUUAAUAGAUGUGUUAUUAUAUGUUCUUGAGAAGUUAAAACUUUUGAUAUAUACCUAGUAAUUAUAGUGCAUAUAAUCGUUACAAGUUGGAUGUUGUGUGUGUAGG
ensembl:lncRNA